rnacentral:rRNA from 1 species
UACGGGGGGGGUAAGCGUUGUUCGGAAUUACUGGGCGUAAAGGGCUCGUAGGCGGCCAACUAAGUCAUACGUGAAAUCCCUCAGCUUAACUGGGGAACUGCGUGUGAUACUGGAUGGCUUGAAUCCGGGAGAGGGAUGCGGAAUUCCAGGUGUAGCGGUGAAAUGCGUAGAUAUCUGGAGGAACACCGGUGGCGAAGGCGGCAUCCUGGACCGGCAUUGACGCUGAGGCGCGAAAGCCAGGGGAGCAAACGGG